rnacentral:lncRNA from 1 species
AACUAUCUCAAAAAAAAAUUUUUGGAACACCAGUAAAACAUGCAAAACAUAACUUAAAAUAAAAACAACUAAACCUAACAUAACGAAAAGAAUAAACCAAAGAAAUUCUAAAAUACUCCUCCAAACUUUGAACAAAACAUUGUCCUCAAUGUGAUAAAAGAAAAUUAGAGAAAAAGGAUAAGAAUAGUCCCCUAACUCUGACUUUGCAAUUUACAGGUCCUCCUUUUGUCACUGCCAAAAUCAUCCUUAAAGUCUGAAUCCGUAGACAACGAAGGAAAAGUAAUCAUAUCUAUUCUAAUGUGUUUAUCAUAAGCUCUCAUCAUUUGUUCAAUUGCCUGAUUUUGCCUUUCGUGACAGUCUAGUCAACGAUCAAUGCGCUCCAUGCAUUGAGCAACACUAAGAGUGGGAGCCGCUUGUGAAGGUAGGGGGCCGUUUGAUAAGAACUACCAACCAUUGGUGCAGACUCUUCCAAUCACUUAAGAAUGCCCAUGGUGAUGGGAAUUUUAAGUUGUUGCAACUCCUCCUUAUCGCUCUAUUACACACCAGCUCUUGCACAUAAUGCAAUGAUGAAGGAAGGCAAACCGAUACCAUCUCGUUUAGUGCGGCCCCGUAUGUAAGAUGGCAUGAGAGAUAACCUAACUAAUGUCAAUGGAUUUAUGGAUUACAAUGGCAUAAAUUAGAACUGUGCAAUCCCUUAUUACAUCACUGAUAUGAGUAGACGGGAGUAAUCGUGCUGUUACAAAGUGUAACCAAACUUUUAACUCCUUUUUCAUGGCACUUCAUUUAAAUGAAACGGGCUCACCAUGUGAUGUCUUCGAUUGGGCUCCUUCAACACAAAGCAUUGAUAUAAUCUCAUUACAAUCCUACUGAUAGCCCAAGUACUGCCCAUAUUCAUCAUUCUCAAUAUUGGGAGUUCCAAAGAAUGUGUUGAUAGCUUGAUUGUGAAAAGGCACUUAUUUGCCACUGACAAAAACAAUGCCAUCAACAUGCUCAACCGUAUUUGCAUAAAACUCUCGAACCACUGGUACAACCGUAGCUUCAGGUUGGUUACUAACUAGCUGCCAAUGUCUAUCUUGAAGCAUCUGAUGAAUUUUCUCAUAAGGGAGGAUGGGGAUAUCUAUCCCUCGUUCAGGAAUUGACACUUUGUUAAUCAAUGACGUAUGAUAUCUCGUAGCGGCAUCGACCGAGAUGAACUUCGAUCUAUCAAAAGUGCAACUUGAGCUUGGUUUGGAUCAUUUGGGUGCCAUUUCAUAGAAAAGAAAUUCAAUUAUCAAAACAAAUCCAAAGUAAA